UGUGGAACGAUGGCAAAGCGUCACUUGCUCAUGCGAGCGGAGAAGAACGUGCUCUCAAUGAACUGACGCAGCAUUACCAGUGUAAACAUACGCAGGCAAAGCGUGGCCUUUGAAAUACGGAAUACCACGAGCAAAAUUUGAACGUCGUUGCCAGUUAAUCUUUGUCUAGGAGGCGCGCCCUGCCUCUGCUGCCUUGUUGUAUCCGGCAACGGAUUUAUAAGCUAACAUUAUUAGGUUUUCAAGAUGAUCAUGAAAUUGAAGCUGUUACUAAUGUGUAGUAGAGUAGGGCGCAAUGCUGUUUAGGUAGUCUACGAGUAGUAGAAAGGUGUAUCUUGUAGCCAAAACAGUAAGCCAAUGUUUUAGUUGAACGCAGUCAACGUAAUCAUCAGAACUUUGUGCUCCCAUUUACCUGAGCUUCAGACUGAGUGCUGCAUACAAUUUACGAACGAACGCCGACGGGGGCAUAUUUAGAAGCAGAACAGGAAGAAAAAUUUUAUUAUCGAAGCAAUCAAGAGGAGCAAAGCAACGGUACCGAAUCUUGGUCCUAUUACCCCAACCUUAAUAAGGCUUCGGCUAGAAGACGAUAUUCGACGACAGUGUGCUACAGGAUGAUUGGUGGAAUAGUUCCGGAACGUGAGUGUUAGUUAGAAGCACUACGGGAAGCCUAGAGAAUGCUUCGUGAACAACAACUAUAGCGUUUCAACAAGCAAGUAACCGUUCUCCCCGGUGCACGCGAUGCUGGCCAAUCUUUUCGCUAGCCUAUCGCCAGUUGUCUUCAGUAGCGUGGCGCCAACAUCAACGCUGCGGAGAAACGUUCGACUGUUGUAAUCUGCUACGGUGACGCUAGUAUAGAUAUUUACGUUUACCGACCUGAACGAGACGAAAAGAAGACUGCCACUCAUCAAAACGUAAUGUAAAAGCGUUUGCUGCAGAAAUAAUAGCAACUGCUAUCGAACGGUCAGAUGAUUGUGGGUUCAUCAUCAGCACUUGGUUCAUGGCCACUUCGGUUGGCUUAUGCGUACGGCGACUAGGAAACUAGGAAGCUUUCGAGAGUACUGAAUAAUUAUAGGUUUAUGUUUAUCUUCCUCAAGUCAUCCAUUUGGUCGCCUGUCACGCUGUGGCGUGCGUGGCAGCUGCAAUUAAGCCAUCUCUUUCUAUAUCGUCAGCGUUCAGCGUCUAUUUGUUCUCAAGUCGAUCCAACGAGCUGCUCUUUUCUUACCUAGAUUAAAUCUUCUGCUGUUCUAAGCAGAGUCACGAAACGAUACAUAUCCUGCGUGCUUCGAAACAGGCGGCAUUCUGCUUGUAAAAGUGCCAUUGAUAUAAUGGUGUAGCAUAGGCACGCUAGAAUAAAACCCGUCUGCUGACACAACAAUUUAACUCAGGUUUUUGAAAGGCUAGCAAAGUUUUGCGCUUUUCUGAACGUAUAUUAAAUAACAUUAGCAAUAAUAAUAAUAAUAAACCGGUAUCUUUUUCAGCUCACGUAAUCCGUUGCACGUCCCUUGUUCAGCUCGAGGCUAUGUCGAUUCUACUGUGACUAUCCAUCUUAUUUAAGUAACAAACGAAGAUUUAUUGUGCGAGUAAUCUGACCACCGCGUGUACAGGCGUCGUUCUAGAUCCAUACAAUGCCAGCGCAUGUGAAUUCAAGCAUUAGACAUGCAGAUAUGCCUAACGAUAUGUAGCCGUUUAGCAAAAAGAAACAACACAUGGGAAACAUGUACGCGAUACGCAGUUCUACCCAACACCAUAAAAACAGAACGACAAACAGGAGCACCACAUCGUAGGCUUCGAUUUGGCGUCAACUAUAAAUAACCGGCGUUACUAUUUUUGUUCAUGAUAAAAGCCACUCCCUCAAACUCGGAACUCUAGCAGCUGGGUCACAAAGGCAGCUUUAAGCGUAAAACCAGUAGAAAGCACCGGAUUCAGCCAGUCUAUUUUUGUUAGCUUCCGUAGAGGCAUCAUACAGCAGUCCCUGGUCAGAAACGAGGCAGUUUCUGGUUGAACUUAUCUUUUCUAUCAAACGUUGCUUCCGUAUGUAUUUUUUUGCAGACCAAACAUACUUAUUUGUGUUAUCAAAUUCACUAUGCGAAGACGGUUAGCAAAUAUUGCCAACUAAUACCUUGACUUGUUACGCAUACACCACAGGAGACGAACCGCUAUUGGCAAUUUACAGAUACACUUAUGGAGAAAUUACGAGAGAUCCGCGUGCGUAUCAUGCCGACUACAGGCGAUAAACGAAGACGCUCUACCGUUCUUACCGAGCUGAUGUAAGCUUAUUAAUAGUAGUAUAAAAAUGAGGUCAGCUUCGGAGAAAAUUGGAUUUCAACUCUCCUCAGACGUGAGUUGGAGAUGCGGACAGAUUCGCAUGGUCACGUAACGGUUUGUUAAUCUGAUGGGUCAUACCUCAGUGGCUAAUAAAUUAUAUACAAGAGAAGCAAGCUCGUAAGAAAAGUCACAGAGCUAGCGAUCUAAACCAAUACUUUACCAGUUUCUGAGGGGCACAUCUGGAGGUUGCGUGUUAAAGUUCUACAGCGGUGACGACAUGACCUCUAACUAGUUGAAGUUUUGUUAGCUAACUUGAAGUUGUGUAAAUUCUCGAAUUCGAAUAAAUGCAUCUGUUUCGUGCUGCUGAAUAUCAGAAUAUUUUGUAAUAGUGCUAAUGCAGGUGUUGAACUGUAAAGCUUGGAGGGACCGCGGGAAAGAUUCGAGCGAUGUCCAGAGUAAGCCAAGUCUCUGAAGCAAUAUCGAAGGACAACUCAAAGAUCUGUCUGCGAAAUAAAAAAGGAUUAAUAAAAAUUGUGGAGUCUUCAUAGCGUGGCUAGCAGUACGUGGCUGAUGGCAGCUCGGUGCCUUGAUUUUGAGUCUUGCUCGUUGCAGAACAAUAGUGCAUAUAUAAAUAAUUUUUAUUUGUUAUUAUAAUAAUAAUUAUUAUUAUAUAUUGUAUUAUAAUCUUUAUCCUGCUAGACAAAGUUCCGCGUCAAGAGAGUUGAUUAAAUUUGGCGUAAUCCGAAUUAUUCUGUACUCUAAAUAUUCGCGUACUCGAUGACGUGUAGGGUCUCAUUUGAUGCUCGUAAACGGUGCAAUGAUACGUAUCGCUAAGUCAACGUUGUUUCCUUUCCUUCCGAUCUUCGAAACCUUUUCCGAUCGAAGCAUAAAACUGUUAUAUGAAAAAAUUAAUUUUUAACUACUUUACUUGCUUAAUUUUUCCUCAGAAUUAUAUAAAACUUUCAACUAGCUUAAUUUACAAUAACGUUUAUUCCAACUAGACAAGGAUCAUCGAUUGUUUUGCCAACGGUGGUUUUUCGCAAAUAAAAACGGUUUGACAACUGUGAAACAGUUUCGAAGCGACGCUACUACAGUUAUCAGCUAUAAUGACAAACCUUGUCACACAACGUACAUUGGUUGAGGGUGCUGCUGGCGUGUUCCUGGACGUGUCCACCAAUGUGAAUUAAUGAACAAAAAAUUAAGGUCACAGCAAACUGCGUUAAUAGGCAUUGUAUCGGAAAUCAAUAAAAGCAUUGUACAAAACAACACUAACGGCUGUAAUGAAAUAUAUAUAUAUACGUAUAUGAAUAUAUACAGUACCCGGUUGUACGGUACACAUUCAUAAACUAAACAACUUUUCUAUAACGCAUAAGUAGUUCUAUAAGUCUAUUUCUAGAGGGCUUACGCGAUAAUACUGGCGCUUCCAACAACAGUCGUGUUAGCGCUACAGAGUCGCUUCUCAAGCUGAGUUUGGCCCUGGUAUUAGCAGCUGGCUACGACGGCUCUAAAGCGUAACUGCCUGGUGUCGUUGGAAAUAGGUCACACCGCCCGGGGCAAAUAAAAGAAGCUUGCUAGACCUACAGUUGCAACUGUUUCGUUUUACGGUUGUUAAGGAACUUGACCGCUGGGGCAUUCAGCAAGCUAACUUGUAGGAUUGUCGCUAUGAACAGAUCAUGGUAGUGGGGCACUGCGCAAAAUCUCACGAGAUUACAACAUGUGUUAUUGCCUACAAACACAGAAUUUAUUUCAGGGCAAAUAACGUUUUUAAUGAGCAUGUGCCUUCAGCAAUAUUUAAGCCGUGAUCAGCUUAGCAGUUGUUAGUAGUAGAAACAAUUCGAUAGUGUUGGCAGCUUCAAUGCAGAACCUUAUCCGUUGCCGCACAUAAUUCGUGGUAUUAUAUAAAUAGAAAAUGUUCAUAUUAUUUUAAACGUUGACGAUUUAUGAAAUCGACUUGUUACUUACCGAAAAUACGAAAACUGUGCUAUAGCCAUCCGCAUCGUGUUGUUUUGCAGUAAUAGGGAAACACCUAACAUUGGAUUUAAUUAAACCCAUGCGUGGCCAUCUUGCAAUGCGCAGUACAAUUGAACGUUAUGUCGUCAAACAUAGGUUCAAAUUUUAGGCUUACGAUGCUGCUUCGUCGAUGCCACUUUUUCUGUCAACUGAACUAGCAGGUGUUCAAUGAAUUCCGCGACAGCGAAAAAAGCAUUACUCUUAUACUAUGCGCAGAUAUUCUUGAGUAUCCGGAGCCCCUUCGGCUCUGCACUGGUGCCAACACUAACCCAAAGUAGGGCAUCAUAGAAUAGUUCCUAUAGAGACGCCAAAUACGCGUAUCUAAAGCUGAUCCUCUGACCAGCACGAGUGAAAAUUAACGGUGUCUACCUUCGGAUGUCUUUGAGAACUCGAUCUCCUACGAGCGUCAGCAGCGGGAAUGGUGUCGAGGCUCUGAAGCGGUAACUUCAACUCGGCUAAAUAGACCUAGACAUUUCCUGAACGGACCAGGGUGUCAUAACGCUGCUGUCGUUGGCACAACGAAAUUGCCCAUGGCCCUCUUAUAUUCCAGGUCUUUCUAUUUGCUACUGCGGUAAAUUUUGUUACCCCGGCUUCUAUUAUUUCCUAUAGUGUUGAGUAAUAAUGCAACAUGUGUCUUCAUUAUCAUGUCUGCUACCCGCCAAGCUUUCCAGGGGUAGAUGUUAGCGACGGCGAUUUACAGUCGGUGACGUCGAACGUGGAGGCGUCAAUUACUAUCCAACGGCUUCCCAACCGCUGCCUAAUUUCGAAACAGCCUUAACAGUGGCCUCUGGCCUAUUCCAAUAGCUUUGUGGACACAGCGGGAUUAACCGGCUGAUUAAAAAACUCCAUUAUUAAUUAUAGUUGGUAUUUGGCAUCCUCCACCGUAGGGCAGAUAAUUUAAAUAAGCAAUGCACACGUCUGCCAGCGGCAUAAAUUCGAACCCGGGGUUAAAAUUAUUGUCUCUAAGGAACUGAACAACAUAGACGGUUAAAUAGCGGGGUAGAACCCGCUGUAAAACAUACUUUGAGCAUUUCUGUACCCUUUAGUCCUAGACUCCAAGGCAGAGAACUUUGAGGUAACCUUAAAGUGUGUGCACCUUUAUAUACCUGUAUAUGUGACAAGCGGUCUUGGUACGAAAGUCACAUGGUGAAUCACGCUACGAAUUAAAUAUAGCUAUAUUGUGUUCCGAUUCGAUGCCCGUCAGCCAGCUUGUGGGCUUGCUGUACCAAAACGAAAAAAACCGCCUUUCCCACUCAUUUUUAACAGUAAUAAAUAGCAUCAUAAUUUAACCACUUGUCGAUGAGGCAGCUUUAGUUACUAUAGCUUUGCUAUUGUCUAAGUUGUACCACGGGCAACGUGAGGUCCCAAAAGAGAUUUAGGCUUACUACAAGGAUAACUGAUUUUUAAUAACAAAACGUGUAAGUUUAAAUGUACAGGCUCAUUUUCUAGCCAGCAUAUUCACGGAAGUUAAAACAUCAUCACACGAAGCGCUCUUCUAUUAUGGCUGCUAGUAUUACUGCUCAUAUUCUAUAGGUGAUGUUGUGUUUACAAAAAAGCGUCAUUAUCAAAUGUCACAGCGGGAUAGAUAUAUGUCAUUUAGCAUUAAUCAGAUACUAAUUCAAGCCAAUGUAAUACGGUUUUCAAUUCAGCUGAAUAAAUUUGUCAGCUUCGAGCAGCAGCAACGUCGAUCUGGACGUGUUCCAGCAAAUACGUUACGUUGCUUCUUCAUUUUAUAUCAGACCAUAAAAGGCUUUGUAGAAAUGAUGAUGUGUCCCGAUGCUUGCAAAAGCUGUUUCUAAGCUGUCUCAUUCAUUGCACUAUGGUUACUAAGACCAUAUGAUGUGUUUGAUUAGCACAACUUACUAUGCAUUUUAAACGUUCGCGCGCUUUCUAUCGCUGCUAUCUGUUUUCAACCUUGUGCUUUCCUUCGAACCUUUGAUAGGAUAGAAACGAGAAGGAUUUUUUUUCCUGGUAUCCUGAGCUCACAUUUGCCGCAUAACUGCCAUUCUUUGGACGGUAAUAGUCUCUUGAUAUUUAUGCUGUCCUAUUUACUUCACGUUUAAAUCACCUAACUUAGAGUGAUACAUUAGGUUCAGUGUGAAAGGUUCGCUCCGCGUUAUUCUCUCUCAAAAUAAUAUGAGACUAGAAAUAAAUCAGAAAGCGAACGACACGUUUGAACGGGCUGUAACAGUG
rnacentral:lncRNA from 11 species